rnacentral:rRNA from 1 species
AAAUGAAUAGACGGGGACCCGCACAAGCAGCGGAGCAUGUGGUUUAAUUCGAAGCAACGCGAAGAACCUUACCAAGGUUUGACAUCCUCUGACAGGUAUGGAAACAUACUCUCCCUUCGGGGCAGAGAGACAGGUGGUGCAUGGUUGUCGUCAGCUCGUGUCGUGAGAUGUUCGGUUAAGUCCGGCAACGAGCGCAACCCCUAUUAACAGUUGCCAAUAUUAAGUUAGGAACUCUGUUAAGACUGCCGUGGGUUAACACGGAGGAAGGUGGGGACGACGUCAAAUCAUCAUGCCCCUUAUAUCUUGGGCUACACACGUGCUACAAUGGGCAUUACAAAGAGCAGCAACCCUGUAAAGGUAAGCGAAUCUCAAAAAGGUGCCCCCAGUUCGGAUUGUGGGCUGCAACCCGCCCACAUGAAGUAGGAGUUGCUAGUAAUCCCGAAUCAGCAUGUCGGGGUGAAUGCGUUCCCGGGUCUUGUACACACCGCCCGU